CGGAGCGUGUAAACCACUGCUAAGGCGAAACCAAAAAAAAAAAAAAUUUCGCGGUUUAAUACAAAUAUUCACCACACUUAUGAUAUAUAAAUAUCGCUUCAAAGUCCACAUUGGGCAAAUAUCCUGCAAUACCCCUUGUUCUUUGACCGACAAAAACAAGCAGGAUUGUAUAUAAAAACGUUAUACAUACAUAAGUAUAUGUACAAAGAGCAGUGAUCUCUAAACGAGCUCUCAUUAGCACAUAAGACAAUCACAAGAGAUCCGCUUAUAGGUAUACACUAUAAGAAUUACGGACACCAAAUAUUUAUAAAAAAUAAAAAUAUUUAUAUACAUAUACAUAUAUACAUAUAUUAAAUCCGCUCAAAAAUAUACCUUGGUUUUUGAUCAACAAAAGCAAGCAGAAUUGUGUAACCAACCAAAUCGUAAUAAAUAUAUACAUACAUGCAUAUGUACAAAGUGCAGUGAUCUCCAAAACGAGGGCUUAUUAGCACAUAAUAAAUAAAAGAUCCACCUAUAAGUAUACCCUAUAGGACAUUUGGACAUAAACUAUAUAUAAAACAAUAUACAUAUAGUUGGCGACAUUGCAGGUGUGGCUGAUGUGACCAUAAGGCAAUCGUACAAAUUGAUGUAUCCACAUGCACUGAAGCUACAUAUUCCCUGAGGAUUUCAAGUUCACUACGCCUAUUGAUCAACUACCACAGAUGUAGCUUUGUAGCUUAAACUAAUUAUUCGCUAUCACCAUUACAAUACAUAAACAUGAAAUCUAUAAUUUGUAAUUUAAAAAUGGUAUUAACUUAGUUUUAAUUACAAAUACUCCGCUACUGAUUGCUUAUUUUUUUAGUAAUUUGAAUUUAAUUAAAACAUUUUGAGGAUGGAGUUUUAUGUUGAAUUUCACGCAACUGUGGAAAGUUCUCUGAUUGCCUUUCACUUGGGAGUGGCCAGAUACGAUUCUUUUACACAUGGUUCAAGCAGCUUACGACUUUCAGUCUUAAACCAAAUAUCCUCUACAUAGCCAAAGAACACCCGUUUGAAGGCGUGCUAAUGUAAGAAGGCGAACCAUCUCUCCUCAGGGUUGUGCGCAAGGUUUCGGACCCGCCACGUAAAAAACCCCCCAAUGAAAAGUAAACAAAAAAGCCUCGGAAGAGAAACCUCUUUUUGAUGACGACCAUGGCAAACGCAUUAAGUGCAAGUACCUGGAAUGUCGGGCCCCAUCAUUGAAAAGGUACCGCUGCUCAGCUAGUUGAUGUCCUCGUUAGAGCAAAGGCUGACAUUACCGCUGUCCAAGAAAUGCGUUGGACGGUACAAGGCCUGUGCAAGAAAGAAGGGUUUCUUACUCCAAUUCCUAAAGAUGAUCAAUCAUUAAGCACCCAUCACUUAGACCAUUUAGAACCUUUGACGGUUACCGCAACACAUUAUAACCAUAUUUUAUCAGUUGUAGACGCAUUCUCAAAAUUUGUAUGGUUAUAUCCAACAAAAGAUAAUGGUGCAUCAGCAGUGAUUGAUAGGUUACGUAAACAAGCUGCUAUUUUUGGAAAUCCAAAGAGAAUCAUGACGGACAGAUAAGGCUAUUUUUAAAGAAUAUUGUAGAGAACAGAAAAUACUGCAUCUCUAUAUAGGGCGGGUGUGCCGAGGAGAAACGGGCAGGUAAAUUUUAACGAAACUUUCUUUGAAAAAAGAUCAAUAGUAUAAAAACGACGAUAAUGUACAAACAAGUUGAAUCAAUUAUCCAAAUCGUAGCACAAAGGUGUCCCCAAUUAAGCUGUAAACAGGGCUUAACAUGCGUGUAAAAAAUGAGUCGACACGCGGACGAGCACUGAUCAGGUUCAAAUGAAUUCGCAAACUUAAUAUAAAAUUUUUUUAAAAUAAACUUACUUAAAAUAAUCUUAAAUAAAAUAAAACGUUUUGUCAAAUAAACAUACAAUUUAAUAAACACGAA